rnacentral:lncRNA from 1 species
UGAGUAGGCUGAAGAGGAGGAGGAAGAGAAGAAGGUGUCUCAGAGGUGGCAGAGGCAGAAAGAAAAGAAAUGGAGGAAGUUGAGCAGGAGGCAGGAGAGGCAGGCAAGCUAGGUGAAACUUUCAUUGAAAAAAAUCCACUUAGAAGUGGGCCCCCAAAUUUCAAACCCUUGUUGCUUAAGGGUCAACUAUAUGUUUUGAGGUAUUUAGCAUUGAUCUGUGGCUAUAUUCCACUUUGGUUUCAAAGGAGAACCUGAGACCUUAAGCUUCUUUGUCUCAGAAGUGUCCUUCUUAUGUGGCUGAAUGAAAAUGUAUCUAACAACAGUGUGCCAUUCUGGAUUUUCUUCUACCCACUCACCCCAUCUUCUCCAGCCCUGCCCCAGCAAAUCUUAAGAAGAAGAUUACUCUGAGUUAUCACAAAGGAGUCUCCUAUUCUGGAGAGGGGAGAGGUGAAAAAGAGAGGAGGGAGGGAAAUGCCCUAAGGACAGGAAAGGGAGGGAGGUUUUGUUCCCAGGGACAUCAAUAGCCAGGCCCUACUCCAUCACUGCACUCCCCUGUUAUAGGCAGAAUCUAAGAGGGGAAUGGCAGCCUCAGGAACCUCAGCACCAGGGCUGACAGGCUGGAAAUUGACUCCUUUGGUUUGAACAAAAGUUCAAAACCUUUAGUGUCAGUGGGCAUUCCCUGUAAGACCCUGACUGCAUCAUUGGUGACAUCUACAGGUUGAGGUCCCAAAGGCUUUGGCUGAGUUUUCUUCUCUCAGCAAGAAUCCCAGGAUAUCUGUAUACUUUGAAGAGGCUAGAGGGGCAGAGGGAAGAAAUGACACUCAGUAAUUUUAAAUUUGGAUCAUGUGUGAGAGAAUGGAGAAACUGUACUUUAACAUGUUAAAUUUAGAUAAAAGUAACAUUGCUAUAUCCCCAAUAUGGUUGAAUAAAAUGUAUACUGAAUUUAACAUAAAAGGGAGAUUUCUCAAGAAAUAUCUUGGAUGAAAAUCUGAAACAUUGGUAUGACUGUGUGAUUAUCCCUGGGCCUGAAAGUGUAACUGAGGUUGUUCUUUGCAGGACAGAGUUGGUGCAAAUGGAAAAGCCCCAGCCAGUCAAGCCAGAACUGACUUCCCGGCCCAUCACUGGAGUGCUAGAUAUGCUCAACAAAUUCAGAGGUUAGAGCCAGCUGCUUGGCAGUACAGCCUCAACUUCUGUUUAGUGGGUUGCUUGGUUGAGCCAUUUCCCAUUUUAGUUUUAUUUCUUCUGACAUAAAAGUGAACUUACAAUAUAUUAUAGAAUUAAUAUUUAUCAUAAACAUUAGAAAUCUUUGACCAACCAACAAACUAAAGCUUCCAUAAACGAAACAACUCUACUGAUGUAAGAUACAUUUCACAACAACUGGAAGCUGAAGGUUCUGUGAAAAUGGCCCAAACAUGUAAGGCAGCCGUUAGACAACAGAGGGCUAAAACCAGAGCUAGACUAAAUGAAGCAGUGGCUGAUCAGGUGACGUAAAAGCAGAACAUGAUCAUUAUUUUCAGAAACUUCUCAACUGCACAUGUAUGGAUGUCCAUCAAAUUUUGAUGUUUAAAAAUGGAGCAGGUGAGACUGGGCACGGUGGCUCACGCCUGUAAUCCUACCAAGGCUGAGGUGGGCAGAUCAUCUGAGGUCAGCGGUUGGAGAACAGCCUGACAAACGUGGCCAUCUAUACCAAAAAUACAAAAAUUUGCUGGGCAUCGUGGCACAUGCCUCUAAUCACAGCUACUCGGGAGGCUGAGGCAGCAGAAUCGCUUGAGCCCAGGAGGCUACAGUGAGCCAAGAUUGCACCACUGUACUCCAGCAUGGGCAGCACAGUGAGACUCUGUCUCAAAAAAAAAAAAAAAAAAAAAAAAAAAAA